AGUGAACGCUGGCGGUAGGCCUAACACAUGCAAGUCGAACGGCAGCACAGUAAGAGCUUGCUCUUACGGGUGGCGAGUGGCGGACGGGUGAGGAAUACAUCGGAAUCUACUUUUUCGUGGGGGAUAACGUAGGGAAACUUACGCUAAUACCGCAUACGACCUACGGGUGAAAGCAGGGGAUCUUCGGACCUUGCGCGAUUGAAUGAGCCGAUGUCGGAUUCGCUAGUUGGCGGGGUAAAGGCCCACCAAGGCGACGAUCCGUAGCUGGUCUGAGAGGAUGAUCAGCCACACUGGAACUGAGACACGGUCCAGACUCCUACGGGAGGCAGCAGUGGGGAAUAUUGGACAAUGGGCGCAAGCCUGAUCCAGCCAUACCGCGUGGGUGAAGAAGGCCUUCGGGUUGUAAAGCCCUUUUGUUGGGAAAGAAAAGCAGCAGGUUAAUACCCCGCUGUUCUGACGGUACCCAAAGAUUAAGCACCGGCUAACUUCGUG
rnacentral:rRNA from 1 species